UGCGACGAGGACGAAGAGACGAACUUGAAAAGAUGAACGAAAGCAAACCGAUGGAAACGCUUGAUCUAUGGUCACAUGCAGUUGAAUCACUUCACCGAAGAAACCGCCGAUCCUAGAAGGCUGACCAGCUUUAUCGCGAAUGAUCCGCGAAACUGGAGGAUCCUGCCAGUGAAACAGUUCAUCAAUACCGAUCGAUACCUCCUCAGAUAUUUCUAUUCUUAUAUCGUUUCUACGUUGAUAUAAUCCAAGCUGAGGUCCCUGGAAUCCUUCUCUCGCAUUCCACUCGCCAAAAUUCAUCGAUCUCAGAUUAUC
rnacentral:lncRNA from 1 species